GGAAGACCCACCCAUUUAGGCCUUGAUGUGGGGCUCCUAAGAACACACCCAUUUAUCAUCUGUUCAGCUAGCUAUCAUGCGUUGCUCCUCCAUUUUGCCAGGUCCCGUUUUUUCUCUCAAGUCACAACCCUAAUACACAGAGGCCGAUCAGUUUAUGAAGCCUCACGCCUCCGUCAUAACUGAUAUGUCUUAAAAAAGAAGAAGGCAGCUAGCUGUUAUUGAUAAUUGAUAGUUA
rnacentral:lncRNA from 1 species